GUAUCCCACCCUUUAAAUCCGGUUUACAAUCCAGGAAAAAAUAUCUUACUGGAAGAUUCAUCUUCACCUUUUCACUUUUAUAGAAAUUAAACAACAUAAGUCUAGUUAUACCAGCGAUUUAGUAAGAACAUUAACUAAACAAGAGUCUCAAUACCUACAGUAUUGCUGUCAAACAUACUUUAGCUUAAUUAAAAACAAAAUAAGUCAUCUCUUCUGCUCUUCUGUCAGCUGUCAAAGAAAAAUUAACAAAUUUGAACAAAUUGAAGAAAUUUUCAAAACGAGCUUACCUUAACAACAUUCGCCUUUAUAAAUACUUUGAUGACAAAAAAGAAAGUGUGUGGCCAUUUCGCCUUUUAGGUGUAUUGGUAAAAAUGAAAAUCUAUUAAUAAUAACACGCAAAAAUGUUUAACGUUUAAGAUAUAGUUUGAGGAAUCGGUUUAUUCCGCGAAUAAAACUUAAUAAAGCGUGUAAUAUGGUAUUAAAAACGGAUAUCUAAAAACACAACACUGUUCGCUUAAGUACAUAAAGUAAAUACUUAUAUAUGUUUUUUAUGUGAAUUUCGAUAAAAGAAAAAAAAUACUUUUCCCGCUCAACUCGCAAAUCUACUUUCACACGUUCGAAAUUACGCGAUCGGAAACCGGUUUUACUAUUUGUCUACGUUAAAAUCUUACGAAAAUUAAACAUAAACAAUAAUUACAAAAAAAAACUUUAUUAUUUUUCGUUACUUUUGUUCAUAAGGCGUCUAAAUUAAACUAUAUAGAGUUAUUUUCGCCACUACGGAUGUUUUUUGCAAUGCAGUUUCUUGUAAAUUUCCGGGCGGUGAGUCAAUUGGUUCAAAGCUAUGACGUGUCUUGCAAAGGCACUGAUUCUGCAGGCAGGGUCGUCUUUAGUCGGAAAAAUUCGUGAAUAAUACUGUAGGAUUGUAAUAAAUUCAUUGAAUCCAACUA